AUUGAACGCUGGCGGCGUGCUUAACACAUGCAAGUCGAGCGGUAACAGGCGUAGCAAUACGUGCUGACGAGCGGCGAACGGGCGAGUAAUGCUUCGGAAUCUUCCUUGUAGUGGGGACUAACCUGGGGAAACUCAGGCUAAUGCCGCAUACGAACCAUGGUUGAAAGCGGGGGAUCGCAAGACCUCGCGCUAUAAGAUGAGCCGAAGUCGGAUUAGCUAGUUGGUGGGGUAAAGGCCUACCAAGGCGACGAUCCGUAGCUGGUCUGAGAGGACGACCAGCCACACUGGGACUGAGACACGGCCCAGACUCCUACGGGAGGCAGCAGUGGGGAAUAUUGGACAAUGGGGGCAACCCUGAUCCAGCGACGCCGCGUGUGUGAAGAAGGCCUGCGGGUUGUAAAGCACUUUUAGUGGGGACAAAAAGCCGAGGGCUAAUACCUUUCGGUCUUGAUUUAACCCAAAGAAAAAGCACCGGCUAACUCUGUGCCAGCCGCCGCAGUAAAAC
rnacentral:rRNA from 1 species